rnacentral:rRNA from 1 species
AUGGAUGGAUACGAGUUCCAGAGGGUGGAGCUAGAUGCACUGGAACGCGUCGUACGCGAUGAAAGUGCGGAGCCAAUGAGAUUGACGUUGCCGCUUCUCAGGCACAUAACCAAAGAUUUCUCCGCUGAAUUUGAAAUUGGCAAAGAUGAUUCUGCAGUGGUUUACCUGGGGGUGCUUCCAAGUGGGUUCUGUAUUGCUGUCAAAAAGUUUCACUUUCGUGAUUGCUUGGAUAAUGAAGAUGCAUUUGGAAAUGAAGUUAAUAGGGCAAUGAAGGGUGAUCACAGGAACAAAGUGCGACUCAUAGGUUAUUGUGGUCACAUGCAACAGCAGAUUUUCCAAUACGAAGGAAAACAAGUUUUUGCAGAGGUCAUAGAAAGGUUGAUCUGUACGGAGUAUGUGCCUAACGGAACCCUUUCUGGACAUAUUGAAGGUAAAAUUUAUACAGAAAUGGAUGGAUACGAGUUCCAGAGGGCGGAGCUAGAUGCACUAGAACACGUUGUACGCGAUGAAAGUGCAGGGCCAAUGAGUAUGAUGUUGCCGCUUCUCAGGCACAUAACAAAUGAUUUCUCCUGUGAAUCUGAAAUUGGCCGAGGUGGAUUUGCAGCGGUUUACCUGGGGGUGCUUUCAAGUGGGUUACGUAUUGCUGUCAAGAGGAUUUCCAAUAGCCAUACAGCUAAGGAGCGUUCAUUUCAACGUGAAAUUGAGACCACGAUGAAGGCUGCUCACAAAAACACAGUGCGACUCAUCGGGUACUGUUGUGACACACAGCAAAUAUAUUUCAAAAACGGCGAAGAAUAUAUUUUCGCAGAGAUUAGAGAAAGGUUGAUCUGUGUAGAGUAUGGACCUAAUGGAACCCUCGAAGCGCAUAUCUCUGAUGAGUUUCAUGGAGGACUUGACUGGAACCAGCGUUAUCAAAUUCUGAAAGGAAUUUGUCGGGGCCUGUUUCAUCUCCAUCACAAAGUGCAUAUCUUUCACGGAGAUAUCAAACCAGACAAUAUAUUAAUAGGGGAUAACCUCGUGCCCAAAAUUUAUGACUUCGGUUUGUCACGGUUCUUUGAUGAAGGAGAACCUUCAGGUUAUGAUGAAGAUGCCCACGGAACUCUAGGAUAUAUGCCACUGGAGAUGCUUCGGGAAGGUCUUUGGUCAACUAAGUCUGACAUAUACGCCUUGGGUGUUGUGAUCACGGAGUUGUUGACUAGGGAGAGAGGGUCGCACUGGGGUCAGAAAUUUGUACAGGUACUGAAACAGUUGAGGAAAAGGCUGGUAAAAGAAGGAGCGUUUCUAUCAUGGGAAAACAGAUACCAUCAAGUUAGAACAUGUCUGGAGAUUGCACAUACCUGUAUGGAAAUGAAUCGAGAUAAAAGGCCUACUGCAUUGGAGAUUAUCCAAAGGCUUGAUGAAACCGAAAGUGUGAACUAUUCUGCACUACCACUUUGGCAGGUGCAGUCAGGAAAUGAGGAAUCCGAUUCAUCGGACACAGAAGCUUUGGAUACAGAGACAACAACCGAGUUUUUUCCAAGUGACGAGGAACCCGCCUCAGCAGACACGACUGGAGAAACAAGCACACAGGAAGCAGAGCUGGUAAUUGAGUUGCCGGUGUCAGUGGACCUGUCCGACCUAAAAGUCCUAGAGAAAAUAACAGAUGGUUUUUCACACGAAAGAAUAGUUGGGAAGGACGGUAUGUUCAAAGGUUCUCAUAAGGCAAUUGUUUACAAGGGUGAUAUUCCGCCUAGAGAGAUGAUUGCUGUGAAGAGGUUAAUUGGAGUGGUGAUUCCAGUUGAAAAGUUUAAGAGGGAAGCAGAACAGUUCAUUAGUUUGGAUCACAAGAAUAUAGUAAAGGUUACCAGCUACUGCCACGACCAAUCUAGAGGACAUAGACUGGUACAGUUCAAAGGAAUACCGCUACCACAACUCAUUAAGGGUCCCGAACAACUGCUCUGCUGUGAAUAUAUGCGCAAGGGAAGCCUUCGCGACUAUCUUGUUGGUCGAGGAUCUCGUGAAAUUGAUUGGGAAAUGCGAUACAAAUUGAUCAAAGGGACCUGCGCAGGCUUACAUUACCUCCAUAAGGGCCGUGCAGACUGUCCAAUUGUUCAUUUGAAUUUAAGCCCGUCAAAUGUAUUGCUGGACGAGAACUACAUACCACGCAUCACUGGGUUCGAUUUUUCAAAGCUCAUUGGUGAAAAGAACACCAAAUCCGUGGUACUUAAGCUGAAUGGACCCAUAGCUUACCUGCCACCGGAUUUCCUGCACUCCAAGGGUCCUGACCUCAAAUAUCUAGCUACGGUAGACAUAUACAGCUUGGGUCUUAUCAUUCUAGAGAUCGUAACACAGCAAGAGAUCAAAGGCAACCAUGGAGUGCUUAUUAAGAGCAUAGAGGAAAACUGGAGGGAAGAGUCACAAAUAACACGGUUGUAUACCUCACUAGAAGCUGACAAGCUGUGGCAAGUAAAAAUGUGCAUUGAUAUUGGCCUACACUGCGUCCAGUCAAAGCCUGAAAAGAGACCCACACCUGGGGCCAUCAUGCUCUGGCUUGACAAAGGGAGCAAAGCAGAUGCAGGAGGAGUGUCAAGACCUCCAGUCCCAGUUCCAAGGGCAGUUGCAGGAGGAGUGCCAAGACCUCCAGUCCCCACUAAUAUCACCCAUGCAGGUGAUCACAUCCAAGGAAACGAGAAGCCCACCGGAUUCAUGAAACGAUUGUUCAGAAGAAAGUAA